rnacentral:RNase_MRP_RNA from 18 species
CCCUCGUCCAAACGAUCGCCAUCGAAGCACAUAUAGCACGGAGAUGAAUGGCUAAUCCCAUCGUCUCAUUUACAUUUGCUUUGGGGAAAGUCCCCGGACACCAUCAGCGGAAACGCGCCGCCAUAAAAGCACUCGCGGCUUAGCCCUGCCGACUGUUUUACCUCGCGCCUGGUCUUUAUUUGGUUCUUUUUGCCAACCCUCCCGUUUUUGGACGGUUUCCAUUUCUUCCCCUCGGUCUUCUUACCCAGUCGUUGUCUUGAUUCGCCUUUCUUCGGCCCUCGCCGCCCCCAAUGGACGAAGAUAUGAGUCCGCGCUUCGAGUGGUUUGGGUUAGGCUGUCAGGCAAUUGCUGGCUCUGGCUGUCGAGGUAGGGGUCUUGGUGUAAUGGGGAAGGCGGGGGAGUUAUCUUAAAGGUUGGGUCUAUGGGAAACGCUAUAGUCUUGCAUGGGAGUUCUUCGUCAGUUUUACUGAAAGUUAUGCGAUUCAACCUCGUCCGCUCUGAGUACCUCUGGGGAAAACGAGUGGCUUGGUUUAACACGAUGGGGCUUACUCUUGGUGCGAGG